GACGAACGCUGGCGGCGUGCUUAACACAUGCAAGUCGAACGGAAAGGCCCUGCUUUUGUGGGGUGCUCGAGUGGCGAACGGGUGAGUAACACGUGAGUAACCUGCCCUUGACUUUGGGAUAACUUCAGGAAACUGGGGCUAAUACCGGAUAGGAGCUCCUGCUGCAUGGUGGGGGUUGGAAAGUUUCGGCGGUUGGGGCUGGACUCGCGGCUUAUCAGCUUGUUGGUGGGGUAGUGGCUUUCCAAGGCUUUGACGGGUAGCCGGCCUGAGAGGGUGACCGGCCACAAUAGGACUGAGGUACGGCCCAGACGGCUACGGGAGGCAGCAGUGGGGAAUAUUGCGCAAUGGGCGGGAGCCUGAUGCAGCAGCGCCGCGUGCGGGAUGACGGCCUUCGGGUUGUAAACCGCUUUCGCCUGUGACGAAGCGUGAGUGACGGUAAUGGGUAAAGAAGCACCGGCUAACUACGUG
rnacentral:rRNA from 1 species